CCUACGGGUGACAGCAGUGGGGAAUAUUGGGCAAUGGGCGCAAGCCUGACCCAGCAACGCCGCGUGAAGGAAGAAGGCUUUCGGGUUGUAAACUUCUUUUAAGAGGGAAGAGCAGAAGACGGUACCUCUUGAAUAAGCCACGGCUAACUACGUGCCAGCAGCCGCGGUAAUACGUAGGUGGCAAGCGUUGUCCGGAUUUAUUGGGUUUAAAGGGUGCGUAGGCGGAAUAUCAAGUCAGCGGUAAAAAUUCGGGGCUCAACCCCGUCGUGCCGUUGAAACUGAUGUUCUUGAGUGGGCGAGAGGUAUGCGGAAUGCGUGGUGUAGCGGUGAAAUGCAUAGAUAUCACGCAGAACUCCGAUUGCGAAGGCAGCUUACCGGCGCCCAACUGACGCUGAAGCACGAAAGCGUGGGUAUCGAACAGGAUUAGAUACCCGAGUAGUC
rnacentral:rRNA from 1 species